rnacentral:rRNA from 1 species
AAUGAACGUUGGCGGCGUGGAUUAGGCAUGCAAGUCGCGCGAGAAGUGUAGCAAUACAUGGAAAGCGGCGAAAGGGAGAGUAAUACAUAGGUACAUGCCCUUGGGACUGGGAUAGCGGCGGGAAACUGCCGGUAAUACCAGAUGACGUUUCCGAACCAAAGGUGUGAAUCCGCCUGAGGAGCGGCCUAUGUCCUAUUAGCUUGUUGGCGAGGUAACGGCUCACCAAGGCAAAGAUGGGUAUGGGGUGUGAGAGCAUGCCCCCACUCACUGGGACUGGGACACUGCCCAGACACCUACGGGUGGCUGCGGUCGAGAAUCUUCGGCAAUGGACGCAAGUCUGACCGAGCGACGCCGCGUGCGGGAUGAAGGCCUUCGGGUUGUAAACCGCUGUCGUAGGGGAGGAAAUUCUGGUGGGUACUCCCAUCAGAUUGACUGAUCCUAGGAGGAAGGACCGGCUAAUCUCGUGCCAGCCGCCGCAGUAAGAC